rnacentral:SRP_RNA from 1 species
CUCCGGGGCUCGGGCAAUCGGAGACCUGUGGACCUGGUCAGGCCCUGACGGGAGCAGCCACCACAGGCCCCUUCGAUGUGUUCCGGGCUUCGGUUUUU